rnacentral:lncRNA from 1 species
UUAGUUUAAGUUGAAAAUUAAAAAUUUAUUAAAAUAUUUUAGACAAUUAAUCAAAUAAAUUACAGAGAUUUUAUUAAAUUCAUAAAAACGAGUUAAAAUAACUAAUAUUAAAUUAAAUAAUAUCUUAUACAAUUUCAUAUUUAAUAAAUAAAUAAUAAUAUAAUUAUAUAUAUAUAUAUAAAUAUUCAAAUGCACUAAUGUAAAACUGUUAAAACAUUUUGAUUUUAUAAAUUAGAUUUUGUUAAAAUAAUAUUCCCCAGCUUUAAAACAAUUUAUAUGAUUGGAUUAAUAACUUAUUUGCGUGGUCAUGCGAAUCCGACAAAAACAGAAAAAAAAAACAAAAGACAAAAGGAUUAUCGUUCCCGGUGAAAAAACUGUUAGAUAAUGAGUUUCAAUUUAGAAAUGAAUAAUUAAAAUAAUCCGUUGGGAA